rnacentral:rRNA from 1 species
UACAGAGGGUGCAAGCGUUGUUCGGAAUUAUUGGGCGUAAAGCGCACGUAGGCGGCUUUUUAAGUCAGAGGUGAAAUCCUGGAGCUCAACUCCAGAACUGCCUUUGAUACUGGCGAGCUUGAGUUCGGGAGAGGUGAGUGGAACUGCGAGUGUAGAGGUGAAAUUCGUAGAUAUUCGCAAGAACACCAGUGGCGAAGGCGGCUCACUGGCCCGAUACUGACGCUGAGGUGCGAAAGCGUGGGGAGCAAACAGG